GGACACGCCUAGCGGACACACGGAACCUGGCUGCACUCAGGCAAGCAUUCGCCCGACAAGCAUGCUGAGGUUGGCCCCUGCCGUCAGACUGCUGCAAGCCCCCCUGAGGGGCUGGGUGGCUCCCAGGGCACACAUCUCCGCCAAGCCAGCCAGAACACCCACUUCUCCUGCGGAGCAGGCCAUCGGGCUCUCUGUGAUGUUCCUCAGCUUCCUGAUCCCUGCAGGCUGGGUCUUAUACCACCUGGAGAAUUACAAGCGCAGCUCUGCAGAAUGAAGGCUCCAGCACAGGAUAAAGGAUCAUAUUAAACCCUUCCCUCUUCCUAACAUCCACGUGGUGAUGGCUUCUUGUUAACGCUUUCUUCCU